UUGAUUAUUUUGAUUUUGUGUGAUACUCAUACAUUUAUACAAGUUGGUUAGCUUCUGUAGUUUAUGAAAUGUAAUAACUAAUAAACAUAAGAUGUACAAGUAUGCAUACAUGUAGUAUUUACUUUACUAAUAUGUAUAUGAUGUUACUUAUCCUUGCAGAUAUGUAGCAUGAACUUCAAGAGCAUGCAAAAUUUAUUGAUAUGGCUAAUGGCAAGGAAGAUGCAAGUGGUAGGUCUAAGCAAAGCAGAAGUUAGAAAAAAAGGUUGAGGGCUAAGUUAAAGCUUGGAAUGAAGCCCAUUCUUGGAGUCAGUCAUGUUACCAGGAAAAAGAGCAUGAAUAUGUUUGUAAGUCUCUUGCUUUAGACACAUAUAUGUAAUGUUUGGACGUUUGGUGAAGCGAAAAUAGAGGAUCUGAAUUCACAAUUACAGAGUCGGGCAACAAAGCAAUUCAAGGCACCUAACCUUAGUAACGUUCCCCAGAGCCAACAACCAUGACUCAAUGUGACGAAGAUGUAGAUGAGACUUGGGUGGAGGCCAUUGAAAUUGAGUUGGUUGUGACCCAAGCUGGAGUCUCAAUAUAAAAUGUGGCCAAGGCUUUAAAGGAUGCAACUGGUGACAUUGUAUAUGCAAUUUUGAAACUCACAGCUUAAAAGUGAUUGACUCACUGUCAUAAUUUUUGUUUUAAUUAUUUUUUUGAAGGA